rnacentral:rRNA from 1 species
AACGCUAGCUACAGGCUUAACACAUGCAAGUCGAGGGGCAGCAUGGUCUUAGCUUGCUAAGGCUGAUGGCGACCGGCGCACGGGUGAGUAACACGUAUCCAACCUGCCGUCUACUCUUGGCCAGCCUUCUGAAAGGAAGAUUAAUCCAGGAUGGGAUCAUGAGUUCACAUGUCCGCAUGAUUAAAGGUAUUUUCCGGUAGACGAUGGGGAUGCGUUCCAUUAGAUAGUAGGCGGGGUAACGGCCCACCUAGUCAACGAUGGAUAGGGGUUCUGAGAGGAAGGUCCCCCACAUUGGAACUGAGACACGGUCCAAACUCCUACGGGAGGCAGCAGUGAGGAAUAUUGGUCAAUGGGCGAUGGCCUGAACCAGCCAAGUAGCGUGAAGGAUGACUGCCCUAUGGGUUGUAAACUUCUUUUAUAAAGGAAUAAAGUCGGGUAUGCAUACCCGUUUGCAUGUACUUUAUGAAUAAGGAUCGGCUAACUCCGUGCCAGCAGCCGCGGUAAUACGGAGGAUCCGAGCGUUAUCCGGAUUUAUUGGGUUUAAAGGGAGCGUAGAUGGAUGUUUAAGUCAGUUGUGAAAGUUUGCGGCUCAACCGUAAAAUUGCAGUUGAUACUGGAUGUCUUGAGUGCAGUUGAGGCAAGCGGAAUUCGUGGUGUAGCGGUGAAAUGCUUAGAUAUCACGAAGAACUCCGAUUG